GAGCCCAACGCGGCGCCGCGAGCAUUAGUGAAGGAAAGGCCAUCGUGGUAAGACUUUGUUGCGGAGCGAUAAGGAGCCGGCAAGCUGUUUGCGGUCUUCAGGCGGGCUUUUUCAUCAGCCAUGACUAAGCUUCAGAUUAAAGUGGUGUAUUGCGGUGCCUGAGGGUACGCCCCCAAGUUCCGUAAACUUAAAACGGAACUGGAAGCCGAAUUUCCAGAUAAACUGGAUAUUCAUGGCGAGGCUACUCCUUCAGCUACAGGAUAUUUUGAAGUAACUGUCGGGGAUAAACUGGUCCAUAGCAAAAAGAAUGGCGAUGGCUAUGUUGAUUCGGAGAAGAAAGUCAACAAGAUAAUUGAUGCAGUCCAUGAUGCACUUGGUGACUAGAAUUUACCUCUUAUGGACGGCCUGACUUGUUGUGCCUUCGUAGGCCUCUUUGUGGCAGGGCUACUGAGUAUGAAACAUUGUGCUGAAAACCCUCUGUUUGGAUGGCACUUUGUGGAGGAGUAGAGAAGCCCUUUCAAGAUUGCCAUAAAGAGGCCUGCUAGAGCACAUCAAGGGCAGGUUGUCCUCCUUUACCAGUACCUUAUUCAGGGAUCUUAACUUUGUCUUUGGCCCAUCUUGCAUAAUAAAAUAUACUAAAAGAU